UACGUAGGGGGCAAGCGUUGUCCGGAAUCAUUGAGCGUAAAGCGCGUGUAGGCGGCUCGGUAAGUCCGCUCUGAAAGUCCAGGGCUCAACCCUGGGAAUGCGGGUGGAUACUGCCGGGCUCGAGUCCGGAAGAGGCGAGUGGAAUUCCCGGUGUAGCGGUGAAAUGCGCAGAUAUCAGGAAGAACACCAACGGCGAAGGCAGACUCGCUGGGACGGUACUGACGCUGAGACGCGAAAGCGUGGGGAGCGAACAGG
rnacentral:rRNA from 1 species